rnacentral:rRNA from 1 species
UACGAAGGUGGCAAGCGUUGUUCGGAUUCACUGGGCGCACAGGGUGUGUAGGCGGUUUGGUAAGCCUUCUGUUAAAGCUUCGGGCCCAACCCGGAAAGCGCAGAGGGUACUGCCAGGCUAGAGGGCGGGAGAGGAGCGCGGAAUUCCCGGUGUAGCGGUGAAAUGCGUAGAGAUCGGGAGGAAGGCCGGUGGCGAAGGCGACACCCUGGACCAGCACUGACACUGAGGCACGAAAGCGUGGGGAGCAAACAGG